UUUGACAACUCUAGAGAUAGAGUCUUCCCCUUCGGGGGACAAAGUGACAGGUGGUGCAUGGUUGUCGUCAGCUCGUGUCGUGAGAUGUUGGGUUAAGUCCCGCAACGAGCGCAACCCUCAAGCUUAGUUGCCAGCAUUAAGUUGGGCACUCUAAGUUGACUGCCGGUGACAAACCGGAGGAAGGUGGGGAUGACGUCAAAUCAUCAUGCCCCUUAUGAUUUGGGCUACACACGUGCUACAAUGGACAAUACAAAGGGCAGCUAAACCGUGAGGUCAUGCAAAUCCCAUAAAGUUGUUCUCAGUUCGGAUUGUAGUCUGCAACUCGACUACAUGAAGCUGGAAUCGCUAGUAAUCGUAGAUCAGCAUGCUACGGUGAAUACGUUCCCGGGUCUUGUACACACCGCCCGUCACACCACGAGAGUCUGUAACACCCGAAGCCGGUGGAGUAACCAUUUAUGGAGCUAGCCGUCGAAGGUGGGACAAAUGAUUGGGGUGAAGUCGUAACAAGGUAGCCGUAUCGGAAGGUGCGGCUGGAUCACCUC
rnacentral:rRNA from 1 species